AGAGUUUGAUCCUGGCUCAGAGCGAACGCUGGCGGCAGGCCUAACACAUGCAAGUCGAACGGGCCCUUUCGGGGGUCAGUGGCAGACGGGUGAGUAACGCGUGGGAACGUGCCCAUCGGUUCGGGAUAACCCAGGGAAACUUGGGCUAAUACCGGAUACGCCCUUUUGGGGAAAGAUUCAUUGCCGAUGGAUCGGCCCGCGUCUGAUUAGCUAGUUGGUGAGGUAACGGCUCACCAAGGCGACGAUCAGUAGCUGGUCUGAGAGGAUGAUCAGCCACACUGGGACUGAGACACGGCCCAGACUCCUACGGGAGGCAGCAGUGGGGAAUAUUGGACAAUGGGCGCAAGCCUGAUCCAGCCAUGCCGCGUGAGUGAUGAAGGCCUUAGGGUUGUAAAGCUCUUUCACCCACGACGAUAAUGACGGUAGUAGGAGAAGAAGCCCCGGCUAACUUCGUGCCAGCAGCCGCGGUAAUACGAAGGGGGCUAGCGUUGCUCGGAAUCACUGGGCGUAAAGGGCGCGUAGGCGGCCGAUCAAGUCAGGGGUGAAAGCCUGUGGCUCAACCACAGAAUUGCCUUUGAUACUGUUUGGCUCGAGACCGGAAGAGGUUGGUGGAACUGCGAGUGUAGAGGUGAAAUUCGUAGAUAUUCGCAAGAACACCAGUGGCGAAGGCGGCCAACUGGUCCGGUUCUGACGCUGAGGCGCGAAAGCGUGGGGAGCAAACAGGAUUAGAUACCCUAGUAGUCC
rnacentral:rRNA from 1 species